rnacentral:SRP_RNA from 1 species
ACCGGGCAUGGUAACGCUUGCCUGUAACUCAAGUGAGGGUGUUAAAGACGGUUGGACGCUGAAUCAGCAAAGUCAGGUUGGCUCCAUUGGUGCACAAACUGGCUUGCCCGUUCCAAGUUGUGAGUUGGACCAUGUGACUUGAGCGAAGGCUUGGGUCAUGUGGUCCCUAAAGUAGGGGGCACUGCGUAAGGCUGGCUUCACAGAGCCGCGAAAACCCCUCGCUCACGACAGUGGAAGGAUUACAAGUCGGGGCUCCAUGGCUCCAUAAUAACCUGCUGGGCUGUCUCAAAUGAACAACCAUCUUUUUU